GCCUGAGUGGCUCAGUCGGUGAAGCUUCUGACUUUGGCUCAGGUCACGAUCUCACGGCUCUUGGGUUCAAGCACCGUCUCAGGCU
rnacentral:tRNA from 1 species